rnacentral:rRNA from 1 species
AGUCGAACGGCAGCACGGGGGCAACCCUGGUGGCGAGUGGCGAACGGGUGAGGAAUACAUCGGAACGUGUCUUCAAGUGGGGGAUAACGCAUCGAAAGGUGUGCUAAUACCGCAUAAUCUCUGAGGAGAAAAGCAGGGGAUCGCAAGACCUUGCGCUUUUGGAGCGGCCGAUGUCUGAUUAGCUUGUUGGUGAGGUAAAAGCUUACCAAGGCUUCGAUCAGUAGCUGGUCUGAGAGGACGACCAGCCACACUGGGACUGAGACACGGCCCAGACUCCUACGGGAGGCAGCAGUGGGGAAUUUUGGACAAUGGGGGCAACCCUGAUCCAGCCAUGCCGCGUGAGUGAAGAAGGCCUUCGGGUUGUAAAGCUCUUUCGGCCGGAACGAAACGGUUACGGUUAAUACCCGUGACUACUGACGGUACCGGAAGAAGAAGCACCGGCUAACUACGUGCCAGCAGCCGCGGUAAUACGUAGGGUGCGAGCGUUAAUCGGAAUUACUGGGCGUAAAGCGUGCGCAGGUGGUUUUGUAAGUCAGAUGUGAAAUCCCCGGGCUUAACCUGGGAACUGCGUUUGAAACUACAAGGCUAGAGUGUG